UUAAUAUAUUUUAACGUAUAGUUAAUUAUAUUUAAAUAGAAUUUAUAAAUUUUAGAAAUAAAUAUAUAAUUAACGUAUAUUUAUUUUAUUUGAUUACAUUCUAAACAUUUUAACGAUUUAUGAAAUCAAAAAUAAUUUUAGAAUUUUAUGUUGAAAAGAAUUUGAAUUACGAAAAUACGUUUUUACUUAGAAAACAAUCAUAAUCGGUUUCGAAUUCAAACAUAAACUCAAUUAUAAUCCUAGCCCAAAUAACAAAGCCCAAAAUAAAUAACCCCAAAUAAACCCAUAACCCUUUCUCCUAUUCAACUUCACGUGAAACAAAAAUAAAAAGAGAAACAAAAGAAAACUCUCAAACCCUUGCUUCACCAUUCACGUGAAAACGCACAAGACUCUCUGCUUCAGCCACCGCCGCUCCUCCUUGCUGCUAUCCCUCACGCCGCCGUUCCUCUCUCCCGCCUUCACUUUCGUUGCUGCAGCCUCCCUCGCCGUCGGACCACCAUCACGCCACUGUUUCGUUCGCAGCAACCACCACCGCGCCACCAGCCGCGCCCAUAACGAUUGUUCGCCGCCGCACCACCAACAACCAUCGCGCGGACGCUGACACCCUCCGCCGUACUCCUCCGACCAGCGUCGCCGCCCACUGUUGCCGCGCCGCCCUGCCUGCCGGCCAGCAGCUUCCCUCUCCUCUCUUUUUUUGGUGGAGAAUUCUCCGUAGGCGACUUUUGAAUUAUUAAAGUGGUCUUGCAGUUUGUUUACACAAGUCUUUAAGGAUCAAUAAGCGUUGACCAUCUACAGGUUUGAAGAUGAUGCAUCAUUGGGAUCGGGAUUAGAGAGCUUGUAGUUCUAUUCGUUUAAUUAAGUGAUUUAAUUUGUUAACUUGGAUUUGAAAUUUGUCGUACCAUUCGUAUUUCCUUAAUUCAGUUAAAUGGGUUUGGACCUAAUAUGUAAUAGAUUAUUUAUGAACCUAAAAGUUAGUUUUAUGUUUUCCGCUGCAAAAUUCUGAAUAAGCCGAUACGUUUUCACACGGGCGAUAAUGCCUUGAUAAUUCUCUACGUUUUAUAUUAAAAGGUUAUUUUAGAAAAGAGGGAAUUGUCGGGGUGUUACAAAGUGGUAUCUAGAAGCUAAGGUUUUAUUUUAAUAAAUUUCUAGGCG